UACGGAGGGUCCAAGCGUUAUCCGGAUUUAUUGGGUUUAAAGGGUGCGUAGGUGGCUUUUUAAGUCAGGGGUGAAAGACGGUAGCUUAACUAUCGCAGUGCCUUUGAUACUGAAGAGCUUGAAUGAACUAGAGGUAGGCGGAAUGUGACAAGUAGCGGUGAAAUGCAUAGAUAUGUCACAGAACACCAAUUGCGAAGGCAGCUUACUAUGGUUUUAUUGACACUGAGGCACGAAAGCGUGGGGAUCAAACAGG
rnacentral:rRNA from 1 species